AGAGUUUGAUCAUGGCUCAGGAUGAACGCUGGCGGCGUGCUUAACACAUGCAAGUCGAACGGAGUGCCCGUGAAAGAGUUUUCGGACAAUGGAUCGGGUUACUUAGUGGCGGACGGGUGAGUAACGCGUGAGGAACCUGCCUUGGAGUGGGGAAUAACACAGUGAAAAUUGUGCUAAUACCGCAUGAUGCAGUUGAGUCGCAUGGCUCUGACUGCCAAAGAUUUAUCGCUCUAAGAUGGCCUCGCGUCUGAUUAGCUAGUUGGUGGGGUAACGGCCCACCAAGGCGACGAUCAGUAGCCGGACUGAGAGGUUGGCCGGCCACAUUGGGACUGAGACACGGCCCAGACUCCUACGGGAGGCAGCAGUGGGGAAUAUUGGGCAAUGGGCGCAAGCCUGACCCAGCAACGCCGCGUGAAGGAAGAAGGCUUUCGGGUUGUAAACCUCUUUUGUCGGGGAGCAAUGCCGCCUUUGCGAAGGCGGAGGGAGAGUACCCGAAGAAAAAGCAUCGGCUAACUCCGUGCCAGCAGCCGCGGUAAUACGGAGGAUGCGAGCGUUAUCCGGAUUUAUUGGGUUUAAAGGGUGCGUAGGCGGAAUAUUAAGCCUGAGGUAAAAAUUCGGGGCCCAACCCCGUCCCGCCUUGGGAACUGGUAUUCUAGAGUGGUUGAGAAGUAUGCGGAAUGCGUGGUGUAGCGGUGAAAUGCAUAGAUAUCACGCAGAACGCCGAUUGCGAAGGCAGCAUACCGGCAGCCCACUGACGCUGAGGCACGAAAGCGUGGGGAUCAAACAGGAUUAGAUACCCUGGUAGUCCACGCAGUAAACGAUGGAUGUUAGCUGUUCGGAGCGAAUGAGUUCUGAGUGGCACAGCGAAAGCGUUAAACAUCCCACCUGGGGAGUACGCCGGCAACGGUGAAACUCAAAGGAAUUGACGGGGGCCCGCACAAGCGGAGGAACAUGUGGUUUAAUUCGAUGAUACGCGAGGAACCUUACCCGGGCUCAAACGGCACAGUGAUACUUUUGAAAGGAGGUAGCUCUACGGAGACUGUGCCGAGGUGCUGCAUGGUUGUCGUCAGCUCGUGCCGUGAGGUGUCGGCUUAAGUGCCAUAACGAGCGCAACCCCUAUUGUCAGUUGCCAGCAGGUAAAGCUGGGGACUCUGACGAGACUGCCGGCGCAAGCUGAGAGGAAGGCGGGGAUGACGUCAAAUCAGCACGGCCCUUACGUCCGGGGCGACACACGUGUUACAAUGGCAGGCACAGCGGGAAGCCACCCGGCGACGGGGAGCGGAACCCGAAAGCCUGUCUCAGUUCGGAUCGGAGUCUGCAACUCGACUCCGUGAAGCUGGAUUCGCUAGUAAUCGCGCAUCAGCCAUGGCGCGGUGAAUACGUUCCCGGGCCUUGCACUCACCGCCCGU
rnacentral:rRNA from 1 species